rnacentral:rRNA from 1 species
UGGGAACCUGCCCUGUGGUACGGAACAACUCCGGGAAACUGGAGCUAAUACCGUAUGCGUCCUUUGGGACAAAGAUUGCAUCGCCAUGGGAUGGGCCCGCGUAGGAUUAGCUAGUUGGCGGGGUAACGGCCCACCAAGGCUUCGAUCCUUAGCUGGUCUGAGAGGAUGAUCAGCCACACUGGGACUGAGACACGGCCCAGACUCCUACGGGAGGCAG